rnacentral:tRNA from 2 species
GCGGACGUGGCGAAAUUGGUAGACGCACUGGAUUUAGGUUCCAGCGGGUAACCGUGGGAGUUCGAGUCUCCCCGUCCGCACCA